rnacentral:lncRNA from 1 species
UCCUCUCUCUUUCUCACCUGUCUCUCUCACAGAGAAAAAUAUGGUCCCUAUCUCCUCUCUCUUUCUCACCCUGUCUCUCUCACAGAGAAAAAUAUGGCCUUUUUGCUUGGCAGCCUAUACUCCUCACAGCUCUCAUGUGUCUUUGGUGUCGGAGAAAAGCUCUCUGCUGCCCUCUGCUGCUGCCUCAGGAUAUUACAAGCUGCACACUCAGAUGUUGCCAUGCUUGUUCUCCUGCUCCAUGAAGCAGCUGUUCUCCUCCGUCACAUUUAUAACAAACCUGUCCAUUCACAAGGGUGCAGUUUUCAAAUGCCACAUCUCAUUUAAGGGCAAAGACAAGCUUGUGGCCAAGAGAGUUUCCGACAAGUUUAUUAUUCAAGCACCAACCUGAAGUUUCAUUGAUCCAGUUCUCAGAGUCAAAUGAGGAAGGAGGCGUUGUGACCAUGAUGGCCCAGGCCUCUGGCUUUCAUCCGGACAUCACCACCUUCCGCUGGUUCUGUGAGAGCAGCGAGCUGAGCCCCGUGUCUGUCCCGCAGUCUGUCUGGCGGCCCCUCGGCCAGAUGCUGCAGGCUUCUUCUCGGCCCUGAGCCAGUGCAGGCCCCCGCCGCAGAGCUGGAGCGAGGGAAGAGCCAGGUGUGGGUCACUGUCCACCACACGGCCCUCAAACAGCGCCUCACACACCAGACUAGAGGUGACAUAACUGAGCACUUGGGAUUCAGAUAAAGACAGUGUUUAGAAUGGAGUGCAUCAGUGGUCUUGGUGCUGGAGGUAUUUUUCCAUUUGUUUUUCCCAUAGGAAUUUUUAUAAAGUCUUCAUUAGAACAUUAUAAGUAAUGAACCAAACCAGCUACUAGGAAAAUCACAACAUUAAAAAAACUUUGAUUUGAAGCAAAGAAAAGUAUUUGAUAAUUGGACAAAAAUACAAAGGUAGAAGACUGUGAACUUAACAGCUUUAUAGAGGGAAAGAACUGCAAUCCCAUGACAUUUACAUUUAAUCAUUUAGGAUGGACGUACCAUAGAAGCAAUCAUAUCAACAAGAAAGCAACAAUAUAUAAGUGCUGUGAUAAAAGUACUUAUAGUACAAGUAGCAAUGUUUUUUUUUUUAAAUAAUAAUAAAAAAGUAGAAAAAGUAGAUGGAAUAGAAAUAAAACAGAGAGAGCUAAUGUUAAAGGGUUAAUUUAUUAUUAUUUGUUUUAUAAUAAUUAAAAAGAAAACAAGUGGAUAGAAUUGAAAAACAAAUGGAGAGUGCUAGUGUUAGAGGGUCAAGUUUUUUAAUAUAUAAUCAAUAAUGGGGAAGUCGUGGCCUAAUGGUUAGAGAGUCGGACUUGCAAUCCAAGGGUUGUGAGUUCGAGUCUCGGGCCGGCAGGAAUUGUAGGUGGGGGGAGUGAAUGUACAGUUCUCUCUCCACCUUCAAUACCAUGACUGAGGUGCCCUUGAGCAAGGCAUCGAACCCCCAACUGCUCCCCGGGUGCCGCA